rnacentral:rRNA from 1 species
AAAUAGAACUUUGCAGAGAGAGUUAACAGGGCGUGAAACCGUUAAUUGGGAAACGAAUCGGAGCCACGAAGUCGUUUCGCUGUUUAGUUGGGUGGAGUUCAGCUCACGGGCCAAAACCCAUGGGUGUAUUCUGGUGCCUGACCAAACUUUGUAAGCGUACACUGCAACCAGUUAGACAAUUGGCCAUGGGCACAGUUAGUUAAGCUAGUAGUAGUGCUCUUCAUCCUUGUGGUGUUGUUGUGUUGCUGAGUUUGACUAAGUGAACUAUGGCCAAAUACUGACUGGCAAAAUGAAAAUCGCAUCUAUGCGUAAGAGACAAAGCGGCUGGCCGAAUUGGCUACUACGCACUGGUCUGGUGGGUUUAAGCUCAGCACUUUUGAAUUUGGACGUGCGCGCUACCAAUGGGGCAACUCUUGGUGCGUGUAUUGCUACCAUCUAAUCGGGUGUUGACUUGAUUCAACAUGAUCCGGUGUGCUACGAUCGGUAGUUAAUUUGAGUUGGUUCGCCAUGAUUGGCAGUGAGUAGGUCGGCUUUCCGAACGACCCGUCUUGAAACACGGACCAAGGAGUCUAGUUAGGCAUCGAGUCGAUCGGUCUUGAAUAGGCCAGACUGGUGCGAUUGCAUCGAUUGAAGGCGUAGAGACAUGUGAUCAGUUAGACAAAAUCAGUUUACAUGCGCAACAUGUGCCUGUUCGUAUGGCAAUGAUCGCAAGGAUUGCUGAGCGGAGCAAAGAGAUGCCUGAUUGGUACCCGAAAGAUGGUGAUGCUUGGGCAAAUUGAAGCCAGAGGAAACUCUGGUGGAGGAUUGUAGCGAUUCUGACGUGCAAAUCGAUCGUCAGACCUGAGUAUAGGGGCGAAAGACUAAUCGAACCAUC